UACGGGGGGGGCAAGCGUUGUUCGGAAUUACUGGGCGUAAAGGGCUUGUAGGUGGCCAACUAAGUCAGAGGUGAAAUCCCUCGGCUUAACCGGGGAACUGCGUCUGAUACUGGAUGGCUUGAGUGUGGGAGAGGGAUGCGGAAUUCCAGGUGUAGCGGUGAAAUGCGUAGAUAUCUGGAGGAACACCGGUGGCGAAGGCGGCAUCCUGGACCAUUACUGACACUGAAAAGCGAAAGCCAGGGGAGCAAACGGG
rnacentral:rRNA from 1 species